rnacentral:rRNA from 1 species
UACGUAGGGUGCAAGCGUUAAUCGGAAUUACUGGGCGUAAAGCGUGCGCAGGCGGCUUUGCAAGACAGAUGUGAAAUCCCCGGGCUUAACCUGGGAACUGCAUUUGUGACUGCAUUGCUGGAGUGCGGCAGAGGGGGGAUGGAAUUCCGCGUGUAGCAGUGAAAUGCGUAGAUAUGCGGAGGAACACCGAUGGCGAAGGCAAUCCCCUGGGCCUGCACUGACGCUCAUGCACGAAAGCGUGGGGAGCAAACAGG